ACGGCUCAGUAACACGUAGGCAACCUGCCCUAAGGACAGGGAUAACCUUGGGAAACUGAGGAUAAUACCUGAUAGGAUAAGGAUGUUGGAACGCGCCUUAUCCCAAAUCACUUGUGGCCUUAGGAUGGGCCUGCGGCAGAUUAGCCUGUUGGUGGGGUAAAGGCCCACCAAAGCUAUGAUCUGUAUGGGCAAUGAGAGUUGGAGCCCAGAGAAGGGAACUGAGACAAGGUCCCUAGCCCUACGGGGUGCAGCAGACGCGAAACCUUUACAAUGCGGGAAACCGUGAUAAGGGGACUCCGAGUGACCUUGCGAAAGUAAGGUCUUUUGUCAAGUGUAAAGAGCUUGACGAAUAAGGACUGGGUAAGACCCGUGCCAGCCGCCGCGGUAAUACGGGCAGUCCAAGUGGUAUCCACGUAUACUGGGCUUAAAGCGUCCGUAGCUGGUUCGACAAGUCUUUGGUGAAAGCUCACGGCUCAACCGUGAGAAGUGCUAGAGAUACUGUCAGACUUGGAGGCGGGAGAGGUCAGAGGUACUUUUGGGGUAGUGGUUAAAUACUGUAAUCCCAAAAGGACCACCGGUAGCGAAGGCGUCUGACCAGAACGCGCUCGACAGUGAGGGACGAAGGCCAGGGUAGCGACCGGGAUUAGAUACCCCGUUAGUCCUGGCUGUAAAUGAUGCAAACUAGGUGUCAUCCAAUCCACGAGAUUGUGUGGUGCCGAAGGGAAACCGUUAAGUUUGCCGCCUGGGGAGUACGGUCGCAAGACUGAAACUUAAAGGAAUUGGUGGGGGAGCACCACAAGGGGUGGAUGCUGCGGUUUAAUUGGAUUCAACGCCGGA
rnacentral:rRNA from 1 species